AAAUACCACCCUUUAAUGUUUGAUGUUCUAACGUUGACCCGUAAUCCGGGUUGCGGACAGUGUCUGGUGGGUAGUUUGACUGGGGCGGUCUCCUCCUAAAGAGUAACGGAGGAGCACGAAGGUUGGCUAAUCCUGGUCGGACAUCAGGAGGUUAGUGCAAUGGCAUAAGCCAGCUUGACUGCGAGCGUGACGGCGCGAGCAGGUGCGAAAGCAGGUCAUAGUGAUCCGGUGGUUCUGAAUGGAAGGGCCAUCGCUCAACGGAUAAAAGGUACUCCGGGGAUAACAGGCUGAUACCGCCCAAGAGUUCAUAUCGACGGCGGUGUUUGGCACCUCGAUGUCGGCUCAUCACAUCCUGGGGCUGAAGUAGGUCCCAAGGGUAUGGCUGUUCGCCAUUUAAAGUGGUACGCGAGCUGGGUUUAGAACGUCGUGAGACAGUUCGGUCCCUAUCUGCCGUGGGCGCUGGAGAACUGAGGGGGGCUGCUCCUAGUACGAGAGGACCGGAGUGGACGCAUCACUGGUGUUCGGGUUGUCAUGCCAAUGGCACUGCCCGGUAGCUAAAUGCGGAAGAGAUAAGUGCUGAAAGCAUCUAAGCACGAAACUUGCCCCGAGAUGAGUUUUCCCUGACCCUUUAAGGGUCCUGAAGGAACGUUGAAGACGACGACGUUGAUAGGCCGGGUGUGUAAGCGCAGCGAUGCGUUGAGCUAACCGGUACUAAUGAACCGUGAGGCUUAACCUUACAACGCCGAAG
rnacentral:rRNA from 1 species